rnacentral:rRNA from 1 species
CCCAGACUCCUACGGGAGGCAGCAGUGAGGAAUAUUGGUCAAUGGGCGAGAGCCUGAACCAGCCAAGUCGCGUGAGGGAGUACUGCCCUAUGGGUUGUAAACCUCUUUUGUCGGGGAGCAAAAGCCGGACGUGUCCGGCUGUGAGAGUACCCGAAGAAAAAGCAUCGGCUAACUCCGUGCCAGCAGCCGCGGUAAUACGGAGGAUGCGAGCGUUAUCCGGAUUUAUUGGGUUUAAAGGGUGCGCAGGCGGAGGUGCAAGUCAGCGGUCAAAUUGCGGGGCUCAACCCCGUACUGCCGUUGAAACUGCAUCCCUUGAGUGCGCGAGAAGUAUGCGGAAUGCGUGGUGUAGCGGUGAAAUGCAUAGAUAUCGCGCAGAACCCCGAUUGCGAAGGCAGCGUGCCGUGCCGCCACUGACGCUGAGGCACGAAAGCGCGGGGAUCGAACAGGAUUAGAUACCCCUGUACGG